rnacentral:rRNA from 1 species
CCUACGGGAGGCUGCAGUGGGGAAUAUUGGACAAUGGGGGGAACCCUGAUCCAGCCAUGCCACGUGUGUGAAGAAGGCCCUCGGGUUGUAAAGCACUUUCAGUGAGGAAGAACGCCUGGUGGUUAAUACCCAUCAGGAAAGACAUCACUCACAGAAGAAGCACCGGCUAACUCCGUGCCAGCAGCCGCGGUAAUACGGAGGGUGCGAGCGUUAAUCGGAAUUACUGGGCGUAAAGCGCGCGUAGGUGGCUUGAUAAGCCGGUUGUGAAAGCCCCGGGCUCAACCUGGGAACGGCAUCCGGAACUGUCAAGCUAGAGUGCAGGAGAGGAAGGUAGAAUUCCCGGUGUAGCGGUGAAAUGCGUAGAGAUCGGGAGGAAUACCAGUGGCGAAGGCGGCCUUCUGGACUGACACUGACACUGAGGUGCGAAAGCGUGGGUAGCAAACAGGAUUAGAUACCCCUGUAGUC